AUGGUGGGUAGAGGCUGCAAAACUGAUCAGUAGGGUGCGCGAGUUUGACCGCGUUGAACGUAUCUGAAAGGAAGUUUUGCCGAAAUUUACUUCUUAUGGUCAUAAGAAGUAGGUUGGGGGCAUUCUGAAAAAGAAUGUCACUGUCAUUUAAGCAAUUGCUUAAAUGGAGGGCUACAGGGUUG
rnacentral:ncRNA from 2 species